AAUGGGAGGCAUAGAUUGGAGCAACAGGCUCCAGAUUUUUGUGUUUGAUAACACAGACAUUAUGAAAUAGGGGUUGUGGUAAUGAAUAAAUAUAGUAUUAGUAUAGAAAAGGUGGUGGAGAGGAAGUGUUAAUAAAAGGAUGUUGGUAAAAAUUGGUACAGAAGAGUGAUGUGUUUGGAUGUCAUGAGUCGAUGCAAUAGAUUGAUGAAAACGGGACCACUAAUAGUAGUGAAUGGUGUUUAGUUGAAUUAUUAAUUAUCGGUGGGAAUAGGAUUAGACAGAUAAGUGGUGAUAAUUAGAUAUAAUUUGUUGAGAUCCGGGGGUGUAGUUGAAGUGAGUUUAAGGAAAUAUGAUAUUCCAGAAUGAAGGGAAUGCAGAUUGAUUAGGCUGGGUAUGUGAGUGAAAAUGUUGACGAGGGAAGUUAAAUGAAAGUUGGAAGAUGGGAAACAGGGGGUGCAGGUGUCGGGAUAAACAUGACACCCACUUGUUUAAGCCUCUUUUAGAGUAGUUGAUUGAGUUGUUUAGUUAAAGUCAGAAUUAUUAGACUGACAAUAACAACUCAAAAGCACGAGAGCAAGGGAAUCCCAUCCGUGCCACGCGCAUAUUCUUUGCCAUUAAACAAAACCCGAAUUGAUUAAGCAGAAAAUCAAGUUGAUCUGGCUUGCAGAAUAAACUUAAGAGCGAAUCUCUCUGUUUCUCUCUUUCCUCACUGGUGAAGGCACUUUCAUCCUUAUCCUUUAUUACCUUAGCACCAACACCACCUUUAUCUUUACUUUAAAUCCAGUUAUAAACUGUGGUAAACUUGACGAGGCAUCUUAUCUUAUUUUACUGAAAACAAAUAUGUCUAUUGUACCCAGCAUUAGCAUAAUCCCAACUUUCCCCCUCAGAAAUGGAAAAAUGACAAAAGACAUCUGCUACUGACUUUUGGCCUGAAAACGAUGGGAGGAUAUAAUAAUAAUAAUAACAAGAAGAAACUAAACAUCCAUCCCAAUCAGUGCCCCAUGGCUCCUGACACUGUUGACGAAUUCCCCAUGCACUUUCUAGCUUUCCGGUCAUGGUUCAUUGAAUCCACCCUCUCUCUCUCUCUCUCGUUUUGACAAGCACCCUUUGUAGGGGAGACACUUUCACCAUAUUAGGUAACUUUUCCCUACUAAGUUCUAACCACCACCCAAUCACAUUUAUCCAUCACAAACGGACGUAAAAAUAUGUAAAUCUGGAAUGGAUGUUGAGUGUAGGCGAUGUCAAGCGUGACGGCUACAGUCGCUCUAGGGAAAUAACGAAACGGUGAUUGGAUCCGGUGAAGAGGAUUGCACUGACAGGGACUAUAACCAACCAAAUUAUUAUUAUUAGCUUAAAUAUAUUUAUUUAUUUUUAUUGGAAAUUUUUAUUGAAUGAACAAGAGUGUGUGUUGCAUUUGAUGAAUGGAGAGGGAAUGGAAUGCGUGGUCCCAGUAAAGUGGUUAAGGGGUAGUGACACGCGUUAAGGUGCUUGAGUUGCCCCCAUGUGCGUCUCCUUGGUAUGCCCAAUCUGUCUUUUUCGUCUCAACUCUCUCCCCGUGCCUCUGCUUCAACUUUCUGUACUACUCAACUUCACCUUCUUAACCAAUUAACGCCUCACAACUCAGCUCACUUCUUUUUUAUCAUCUUUUCUUUCAUCAUCACAUCAGGACGAAACUAUUUUCUUUU
rnacentral:lncRNA from 1 species